rnacentral:lncRNA from 1 species
UUCCUUCUUCUCGUCAACAAAAUAUCGAGAAGAGAGAGUUGGCUCUCUCUCUCCCUCUCUCUUUCUUCCUUCCUUCCUGACGGCAGGGGGAAAGGGUGCUCGGCAGUAGGCGGCCCACGGCCGGCGAGGCUCCCUGGUCGUCGGCCUGUGUGGUGGUGCCGGCGGUGCCACGCCUGGCGGCGGUCGGCCGGAAUGGAAGAGGAAAAGCAACCGGAAC